CUCUGGCCCAUGGGCUGGGGCCCAGGAGGUCUAUUUAAGCUCAGACCUGGGCUUUGCUUUGUUUAUGCAGUAGGUGGAUCUGUUUUCCUGACCUUUUGGAUAGACUUUGGCCUUGCACUCAGUCAAGAAUUAAAAAGAUUACCUAAAAGCCUACACUCCUCAGUGCUUUUCACCAUGAGAGCUCAAUAAAUACUUGAAAGGGUUGCCCAAAAAAUUUCAGCUGGACUUGAUUUUAGAAAUGCAGGCUUUGGAUUUCAGGAGAUACUGGUGAGGAAUACAGGGAUGAAGGAGAGCUGCUUUGCAGACCAUUUAAGAGGAAGUGAGCAAGUACAAACUCCAGAAGUUAAUUUUCAGCUGAGCAAGAAACUUUGCUCUCCUGGGGAACAAGGAAGUACAUGACUCCAAAAGCUUUGUAUGUGCACCAGCCAUCAAGAAGAUCAAAGAAUUCAGCUGUCUAGCUAUACUACAUAUCCAGUGCCAAGAAGGAGACUAGUAACUAUGCCUGGGGUGGGAAAUGUUCCUGCAUACCACAAGUACCAGCGUGGCAGGAGGUGCAGAAAGGUUAAUUCUUGAGGGGAGCAUGAUACUUAUCCAGUAUGAAUUCUGAGUUGUUGAAAAAAAUCACAUUAUGCCAGGGCUCAUGGGCCAUCACUGUUAUUAUCCUGUAAAUAUGCUAACAGAGAGAAGAUGGCAAACUAAGAGUACCUUACCUGUGUCAGUCAGUGACUGAAAUCCAUCCUCCUCAGUUGGUAGUCAAUGUUUUAACUGAAAAAGCAGUUAUGUGUCACUGUGCACUGUGAUACUGUACAGCUUCUCUGCUGGGACUUGGGGUAGUUAUGGUACAGGCUGUUUCCAGUGCACCAGCCUGCAGCAACCUCUGUCAGCUAUGCCUGUGGAUCAGCUUGCCCUGCUUUGCUGCUGGCACUUUCACUCACAUGUGAUCUGUGUCCUGCUGAAACCUUACCCACUGUAGACCUCGUCUCUGCAUCCACUUGCUGCUUCCAAAGAGCCUGGACAUACUAUGCAAGUUUUGUUGAAAUGCACAUCGAGGCACAAAGCACAAUGGCAUACAUGUGGCAGUGAAGCAGCACCACUGGAUCAGGCUUUGCCUUCUGCUUCACUAUUUUCACUGCUCAGUGGCAUCCAGGGCUGUAUUCAGCUGGCCUAAAUUCUGCCCACAUUUCUGUGCCAGACUCCUAUGAACUGGCUUUGGGUCUUCAGAGGAGCUGAUGUCAGUAGGCACCUCUGCACUAAGGGAUUUGAAGGAAUCUAUGCAAUCUCCUGGGUAUUUAUUGUCAUUGGGGUGGAUUUUCCUGCUACCCCUGGGUACACAUGACUUUAGACUCCAGUUCUGCUCCCUGAGAUGUAGGGUAUUGUCUUUCCUCUCAGUUUACACUCUAGCCCAGCAUCUGUUUCUGACCAGAACUGCUGGGGCAGACUUAGAGGAAAAUGGUAACAAAGGGGAAAGCAGCCCUAAUACUACGCUGAUAUAUUGGAACAAUCUGUGUCUCGAGGAUAUCUGAACCCAAGGUGGUAUCUUUGUAUUACUAAUGUAUUAAUAAUAGCCAUUCAAAGCACUGCACAUUGACAAGGCACAGUAUAAAUGUCAUGUAAGAAGGUGUGCCUACUUCUCUUAAGAGACUGCAAACUCAGAUUAGACUUCAGUGAUGGAGAUGGAAAUAGGUUGUCUGCUCAUGUAAAAGUUUAUGGGGAGAAGGAACAGAGUAGGUUGGUGACAUGAUGGGCUGGGGAGUAUAAAAAGUAUAAAAGUAUAAAAAACAAUAAUAAGGGGAAAAUGAAGGUACGAGUGGGAAAAGACAGAAGGGAGCAAACAAUGUAUCAGCAGAGUGAAAUUGCUGUAAGAAGUUGCUUUACUAAUGUGAAUCAAGAGUGUGGAUGGAUUAUGUGGGACAAGUGGAGGAGUCUAGGAGGUGAGCAGAUGGAUGUGAAAAAGAGAAUGGAUUUGUUGCGGUAGGGCAGCCAAAACUGGAGACCAAUGGAACAGAGGUGGAGAAACUGGGCAGCAAAAGAAAUGAAGCUAAAAAGACCUGUUACAGAAGAGAAAAUAAAGUGCUGAGGUUAGAGGCUUUAAGGAAGAGAGGGGUGUAUUUGAUGUAGGUAAGGAGAAUUGAGUAUUGUAAAGACAAGCAGAGAUACAGGCUUGAGCAGUAAGAAGAAAGUAAAGUGAGGGAAGGGGAGCAGAUGAGGGUGAGGAAAGGAGUCUGGCUUGCUCCAAAGUCCAAAGGGAAUAUGAAGAUGCUAAGUAGAGGAACAAAGUGAACUGUAGCCUAAAUAUGACCUUAAAACCAGGGAAGUCAGAUGCUAGAAAAGUGCAAGUCUUCAAGGAUAUGUGAGCAGUCGAGACUACUCUCAGCAGGACAAACCUGACUGGAAACAGCUGUCCCUUAUGUGGAUUUUUCCUGCUCUCUUUUUCAACUUAACUCACAAGAGGAACAACCAAGAGUCUGUGGGAUCUGUCUCAGUUACCUCUACUCCCUUUGAAGCACCAUCCUCCUUACCUCCUUUUGUGGCCAGUUUUCCACUUUCUUCCUAGCAACUGUUAGGCUGUAAGGGAUGAUGACAAACUUUGGCAUUGCAAAUGCCAGCAGACCCCUUUUCCUAUUGCAGCUGAAGACUAACCUUGGCUUUUUCAGAGCAUGGUAGGAGACAUUCAUUCACACCAGACUCUCCCUGCUGGUUGGAGAGUCAUGUGCAAACAGUCUACUUGUAUAUGCAUGUUCAAAAAUGGGCAAGUUGUAUUCAACCUCUGAGGGAAAGCAGCAGGAAAAUCAGGUUGUAAGAUAUUUAAGACUCAGAUACUUGCUUCCAAGACAAAUUAAUAUUCAGCAAAUGAUGCAAAGCAAAACUUUUUAAACAGUGCCACCAGAAAAUGCUCUUUGACUCUUCUCCACUGUCUGGCUUAUGUCUUCUCUGAACCCUUAUCACAAUGUGCCCUCUAAAUUCUGAGGUCCUAACUUGCUCUCAUCCAGUGCAGAGAGAAUUUCUGAGAUAAUAUGUACCUUUGUGUAAGAUAUCUUCUUUCCAGAAACAUGAGAGAAGAUCUGAAGAGAUCACUCUUCCAGGGCAAAGUUAGCCUGUCUGCACACCUGUCUAUUCUGCCAGAAAUCCUAUUUUUAACAUGGCUUGUGACAGUGGCUGACUCCUUGUUUGCUUAGAAAUGAGGUGCAAGUAUGGAAGGGCAUGGACUGGAGUGCACGGGGACCAACAAGGGCCUGACUUGAUCAGCUUCAACAGGCUUUGGAUCAGGCCUACAGUGACUGUUUGCAUGAGGGCUGGUGUGAGUAGGCUGAGAAGGGAUGUGGUCUAUGGCAGGAUCACUGCAGAGAAAGGAUGGUGCUUUACUGGGGGUGGAAAAUGGAAUUGUCACCGUGGAAUGAAUGAAUUGUACAGUUUCUCUUUUGUAACCCAGGGAAUAAUUAAGAUAGAUGGGUAGAUGAAUUAGCUGUCCUGCAAGGUCAAAAGUGGAUUGCCUUAUUACUCUAUUAUUUCACUGUUGUGGAACUAUCACCACUAACGCCUUUUUCAUGAUAUUUUGUACAUCGCACCAAAAAAAAAAAAAGGGGAAAAAAGAAAAAAGGGGGGGAGAUACAAAUUGAUCGUUUGCUGGUGAAAUCAGUCUUCGUCAUCGCCAGCAGUGCUUGGAUUAAUGGGAUUGAAGGCUGCUGGAGGUUCAGCCAGAGAGACGGGCGGAAAAACAAGAGAAAUUGGUUUGCACCCCUGGGAAUGGAAUUGAUGUGACUUGCACAGAGCUGCUGCAGCAGUGGUGGCUGCUAUGCUGUGAUGCUGCUUUUUUAAAAAACACAGAAGGGAGAUGGGAGAACAAAAUAAAUCCCUAGCUGGAAUACUGGGUCGUUACAAACAUGGAUGAUAAUCUUCUAGCAUGUUUGGGAGAUCCAGAGAGUUUGUUUGCUGGAAGCCUUUAGGAAAAAAUAGAGGACAGUCUUUGAAAAACACAGAUGCUUCCUGGUGGCUUUCUGCUAUUUCUGUGGGGUUUUAAAGAUGAGGUUUGGGACAAGCACUAGAAGCUGGACAUUAUUCACAUUAAUGGCAAAUAAUCUCAAAUCUACACAGCUGGCCAUAGAGAUCUUCCAAAUGGGUAAAGGCCAUUACGUGGACAGAAGUAGAGGACCCCAAUAUGAUAGACAUGGUUGUAGAAUGACAGAAAUGGUGGAACCAGGGACAUGUUGAUUUAGGUCAUUGUAUCAUUGGCCUAACAGUGACAGAAAGAAAUAUGGUGGAGAGGAAAACUUGUAGUUAGUCUUCCCAUUUCCAGUGCCAAGAAGUGACACAGAUACACUUGUUUGCUUCUGAGUUUUUUGCUUGAAUUCUAGUAAAUAAGGAUUUUGAGAGAUCUGAACUUCUGAAGGGGAGACAGCUAAUUUGCUCACAAGAAGUUCUGCUUAUGCUUGGCAUUGUGCUUAUAGUUGGUCACGUUUUCCUCAGGCACCAUGAGCAGCAACAGAGAGGACCCAAGUCCAUGCACAGUCAGUGUCAAGGGUCUUCCCUGUGGACAGGCACUCUUUCUGUGUUUACCCAGUGCUAGCAGAUGAUGGUCCAGGGUAGAUGCAGCACAAAACUCUGAAGUGCUGAAGUUCAUGCUAUGCUUGACUGCUUUUAAGCAACAGCAUGCAUAAUGUUUAUCUGAUUACUUAACAGCAGUGCUAUUAAAAGUGACUUUCCAAAUGUGGUGCUGGAUCUGAGGAAGAUGAAAUCAGCACAAGAUUUUUUUUGUGUUAGCUAGAGAUCUGGCAGAUUGCUUCCUCAGAAAUAUUUUCCUUUUAUGCUGUUGCUUUUUGGUCAACACUGAUGCCAGUUUUGAGGAAAUCUAUCUUUGAGAUUGAAAGAGGGAAGCCCAGAUUAUUUCUGAAACUUUUGCAUGUGGUUUAAGAUUGAAAUACCAAACUCACAGCUGUGUACUAUUCACAGAGAGUCAAACCAAGACUGGAUAUGAUUUUCCAAUUCAUGACUGACUACAGGAGCAUUUGCCUUAAAUAAGUCUAUCUACAAUGUAAUAGUGUGUAGGGCAAAUGUCCUCUGUGUUUUACCUUUCCUUGGUUCCUGGGCUACACUCUUGAUUAUGCAAGAUGAUGUUUUAAAAUUGGCCAUGAACUCGAG